rnacentral:rRNA from 1 species
GGCUGGAUCAUGGCCUGAUUGAACGCUGGCGGGAUGCUUUACACAUGCAAGUCGAACUGACUUCGGUCUGGUGGCGAGUGGCGAACGGGUGAGUAAUGUAUCGGAACGUGCCUAGUAGCGGGGGAUAUUGCGCGAAAGCGUAGCUAAUACCGCAUACGCCCUUCGGGGGAAAGCGGGGACCUUUCGGGCCUCGCACUAUUAGAGCGGCUGGAUAUCGGACGUAGCUAGCUGGUGGGGUAACGGCUCACCAAGGGCGACGAUCCGUAGCCGGUUUGAGGACGACCAGCCACACUGGGACUGAGACACGGCCCAGACUCCUACGGGAGGCAGCAGUGGGGAAUUUUGGACAAUGGGGGAAACCCUGAUCCAGCCAUCCCGCGUGUGCGAUGAAGGCCUUCGGUUGUAAAGCACUUUUGGCAGGAAAAGAAACGGCACGGGAUAAUACCCCGUGCAACUGACGGUACCUGUAGAAUAAGCACUGGCUAACUACGUGCCAGCAGCCGCGGUAAUACGUAUGUGGUGCAAGCGUUAAUCGGAAUUACUGGGCGUAAAGGGCGCAGGCGGUUCGGAAAGAAAGAUGUGAAAUCCCAGAGCUUAACUUUGGAACUGCAUUUUUAACUACCGAGCUAGAGUGUGUCAGAGGAGGUGGAAUUCCGCGUAGCAGUGAAUGCGUAGAUAUGCGGAGGAACACCGCCGAUGGCGAAGGCAGCCUCCUGGGAUAACACUGACGCUCAUGCACGAAAGCGUGGGGAGCAAACAGGAUUAGAUACCCUGGUAGUCCACGCCCUAAACGAUGUCAACUAGCUGUUGGGGCCUUCGGGCCUUGGUAGCGCAGCUAACGCGUGAAGUUGACCGCCUGGGGAGUACGGUCGCAAGAUUAAAACUCAAAGGAAUUGACGGGGACCCGCACAAGCGGUGAUGAUGUGGAUUAAUUGAUGCAACGCGAAAAACCUUACCUACCCUUGACAUGUCUGGAAUCCCGAAGAGAUUUGGGAGUGCUCGCAAGAGAACCGGAACACAGGUGCUGCAUGGCUGUCGUCAGCUCGUGUCGUGAGAUGUUGGGUUAAGUCCUGCAACGAGCGCAGCAACCCUUGUCAUUAGUUGCUACGAAAGGGCACUCUAAUGAGACUGCCGGUGACAAACCGGAGGAAGGUGGGGAUGACGUCAAGUCCUCAUGGCCCUUAUGGGUAGGGGCUUCACACGUCAUACAAUGGUCGGGACAGAGGGUCGCCAACCCGCGAGGGGGAGCCAAUCCCAGAAACCCGAUCGUAGCCAGUCCGGAUCGCAGUCUGCAACUCGACUGCGUGAAGCCGGAAUCGCUAGUAAUCGCGGAUCAGCAUGUCGCGGUGAAUACGUUCCCCGGGUCUUGUACACACCGCCCGUCACACCAUGGGAGUGGGUUUUACCAGAAGUAGUUAGCCUAACCGUAAGGAGGGCGAUUACCACGCGGCAGGGAUUCACACUGGGGUGAAGUCGUAACAAGGUAA